GGGGUGGCUCGAGUGGCGAACGGGUGAGUAACACGUGAGUAACCUGCCCUUGACUUUGGGAUAACUUCAGGAAACUGGGGCUAAUACCGGAUAGGAGCUCCUGCUGCAUGGUGGGGGUGGAAAGUUUCGGCGGUUGGGGAUGGACUCGCGGCUUAUCAGCUUGUUGGUGGGGUAGUGGCUUACCAAGGCUUUGACGGGUAGCCGGCCUGAGAGGGUGACCGGCCACAUUGGGACUGAGAUACGGCCCAG
rnacentral:rRNA from 1 species